AUUGAACGCUGGCGGCAUGCCUUACACAUGCAAGUCGAACGGCAGCACGGGUGCUUGCACCUGGUGGCGAGUGGCGAACGGGUGAGUAAUACAUCGGAACGUACCUUAUCGUGGGGGAUAACGCAGCGAAAGCUGUGCUAAUAACGCAUACGCCCAGAGGGGGAAAGCGGGGGAUCGCAAGACCUCGCGCGAUUAGAGCGGCCGAUGCCGGAUUAGCUUGUUGGUGGGGUAAAAGCCCACCAAGGCGAGGAUCAGUAGCUGGUCUGAGAGGACGAUCAGCCACACUGGGACUGAGACACGGCCCAGACUCCGACGGGAGGCAGCAGUGGGGAAUUUUGGACAAUGGGGGCAACCCUGAUCCAGCAAUGCCGCGUGUGUGAAGAAGGCCUUCGGGUUGUAAAGCUCUUUUGUCAGGGAAGAAACACCGGCUCUAACACAGUCCGGGAAUGACGGUACCUGAAGAAUAAGCACCGGCUAACUACGUGCCAGCCGCCGCCGUAA
rnacentral:rRNA from 1 species